rnacentral:tRNA from 11 species
AGUGGCCUAGUGGCUACGACGUCCGCCUGGUAACCCAGGGGUCGUAGGUUCAAGCCCGGG